rnacentral:misc_RNA from 1 species
UUGGAGGGCAAGUCUGGUGCCAGCAGCCGCGGUAAUUCCAGCUCCAAUAGCGUAUAUUAAAGUUGUUGCAGUUAAAAAGCUCGUAGUUGAAUUUUGGGCCUGGUCGGGCGGUCCGCCUUCUGGGUGAGUACUGUCAUCGUGCCGGGUCUCUUCUUCUGGUGAGCUAGUGUGCUCUUUAUUGGGUGCAUUAGGGAACCAGGACUAUUACCUUGAAAAAAUUAGAGUGUUUAAAGCGGGCAUUUGCUUGAAUACAUUAGCAUGGAAUAAUGAAAUAGGACGGACGGUUCUAUUUUGUUGGUUAUGGGACCACCGUAAUGAUUAAUAGGGAUAGUUGGG